rnacentral:lncRNA from 1 species
CUUGGGACUUUUUGAUAUUUUCUAAUUGUUUGUUGUCUGUCUCUCCUGGAAUGUGAACUCCAUAAGAGCAAAGACCUUGUCUGCCUUCCUCCCUCUUGACUCUCCAGUGCCUGCUCCAGUGUCUGGCACACAGUAGGUGCUCAGUAUGCUGAACACAUCAGGCAUGGUGCUGAGCCUUUACGUGCAGUGUCUCAUCUCCUCCUUACAACAACCCUAUGAGAUCGGCACUUGUGUUCUUGUUUUAGAGAUGAAGAAACUAAAGUUCAAAGUGAUUUAAUAAGUUUCUCAAGCUGCAAGUGGAAGAGUCAACUGGGAUUUGAUCCGAGAGCAGAGCCUGGGUGCCCAACCACUUUACAGAGGUCUUGGUGACAGGAGGGCCAUUUGGUGUCGGCUGUAAUUGCAAAGCUUACUGCAGCCCAAAGGAUGGCACACUUGUCUGUGUACCUGUCUACCUGCCUCCUAGGAGGCUGUGGAGUUUCUGUCAGCCUUGUUGCAACUCACAGGUAAAGGGCUGUGGGGGUGACUCAUGCUGGCUGGGCUCCGAUGGAGGCUGUGAUGCCAGGUGGCGUGUCUGUGCUCGCUGGGCUUUUUUAAAUAGGUCCUCUCCCUCUGCCUCUGGAUCUUACCUUUUUAAUCGCCCACGCUCAUCUGCAGAGAUCAGCAGAAGCCUAAAUCAUGGGGCAGAGGAUUUCUAUAGAAGGCUCCAGAAGGCACCCUGGAUGGGGUGGAGGGACUAGUGGUCUAGGAUAGGUAGGCAGGGACACCAUGAGCCAGUUUGCAAGGUCACCAGACCCCUCCAGCAGGAGCUGUGCCUCCCAGUGAGGAGGCACAAGCUGUUAGGCGUUUGUUGAACAACUCAGAGAUGCCAGGUUUUAGAGAGACGCUACCCCAGCUCUGCUCCCUGCUCCCACCCCUUUCCUAUCCUGUGUGGCAUGAGUGUGGCCCAGGGCUAGGCAGGGCUGGCAUCGCUUCCCCUUCUUGGAUCGGCCCAGUUCUUGGUUUCUUGGCUGAGGAGAUUGAAAACAGAGACCAGCCAAUCACCUGUGACAUAAUAAUUGUAUUCACAAUAAUAACAGUAAAUAAUGAGGGCUGCUGCUAUUUAUUUCGUGUUUGUAUGUUGCAAGCACUGUGCUAAAAGGUACCUGUGUUAUCUGAUAGUGUUGGUCUGAGGCUGACAGACCUGGCUUCAAACCCCAGCUCAACCACUUACUCGCUAUGUGAUGCUGGCCAGUGACUUAAGCUCUUUGAGCCUCAGUUUCCUCACUUGUAAAAUGGAUAAAAACCAGUAUCUCCCUCAUAGGAUUACUGUGAGGAUUAAAUGACAUAAUGGACAUGAAGUGUGUUGUGCAGUGCCUGACAAAUAACACUCAAGAAUUGUUAGGAAACUUUUUUUCUCAUUUUAAUUGUCAUUUAAACCUAAUGAGGAAGCUGUUAGCUAAUUUUACAGGUGAAGAAACUGAGACUCAGAGGGGUUGUGAUUUGUCAUAAGUGAAAGAGUUGAAAUUUGAACUCAGAUCUCUCUGCCUCCGUUCUUAUAGAACUCGACUAAGUCAGGGAUUGUCCUAGGUUCAAUUUCUGUCUGACCACUGGCCACUUACUAGCUGAGAAAGGUAAAUCUCUUGUCUCAGAACCUCAGUUUCCCUCUCUGUAAGUCAAGGUUAGUGAAUCACUGUAAGGUUGGAGUUCGGUAUUAAGUCACCUGGGAUUCCCUCUAGAUUACUUCUGGAAAAGAAGUGUUCCUUCUCUAGACACUAGGAGAUGCCCCCAGAGGAUGGCACCGUCCUUCACCCCUCCCUCUCUUUUCUAGGAUUAUGACUGCCCAUGAGCCACUGUUCCAAGAGAGUGUGACAUUCUUGGCAUGUUGGGGAGGAGUAAAGGUUAGAACUACUGAGUUAAAUAAGUGCUGAGAGCUAGGGCCACUUCGUCUGUCUGUGAAAGUUGUGCACCGCACAGUCAUAGUGCCAUUUACAGUACGAGACUUGCACUAUUGGACAAAAUGGCCUUGCUAACACGACUACUUCAUGGUUAUUCAAAACUUCAUGAAAAUCCGCUGACCUAUAUAAAAAUACUGAGAGGACAGAUCUGCAGAUGCCAGCAGUGCUUCUCUAUGGGUGCUGAAAUGACAGCAUUUUAGUUGUUUCCCUGUCCUCUCUCCCCCACCAAGUUUUCUGCAUUGAUCUUGCGUCGUUGUUUUUGUAUUUAGAAACUCUAUACAAAACCUCAUUUUAAAUGUCAUUAAACCAAAAUAAUCGCCCAUGGACUAAAUGGGCAUCACCUCCCUCUUCUUCCUGGAGCAAAGGUAGAGAUGAGAGUAGGAAGGACUGAGGGUCCUUGCUCAGCGCUUCCCUGUGCAGUGCGUCGGAGGAGGAUGGGCGCUGCCCACUGUGGGCUCUAAGCAGUGAGCUCAGGAUCAGAUCCGAUCUUGACUUAAUUAAAAUUAUUGCUUAUUGAGCUCUUAUUCUGUUAUGUUUGCUUUAGAUGCUUUAUCUCAUUCCUCCCUGUAAAAUGGGGUCGCAAAAUCCACCCCAGCUAAACUUGACUCCUGGGGCACUGGCUGCAUUACUAAAGGAUGUAAGCUCUGGAGUUGACUGCCUAAGACCUUGGCCGAGCAACUUCAUUUCCUCGUUACCUAAGUUUUCUUCUCGGUGAUAUGAUUGCUGUGAGGAUUAAAGGAGGUAACACAGUGUCCUUAGUAUGUGCCAGGCACAGUUCUAGGUGCUUUAUGUGCAUAGCAUGUAAUUCCUUUGAAUCCUGUGAAGUAGUUUUCGUAAUUAUCCCCAGGUUACGGGAGAGGAACAGGCUCAGAGAGGUGAGAUAAUGCAUCUAAGGUCACCUGGCUGUCUGCUUAGUGACAGAGAUAGAAUCAAACCAAGGUCUGCCUGACCCCAAAGCCAUGGAAACGGUCCUUUCAGCCUCAUGAGUUCCUCUUUGGAACAAAGCCUGGGAUGGAUGGAUGGGCGGAGGGAAAGAAGGACGGAGGGAAGAAAAGUAGAUAGGCUGGUUGAUAGAAUUUGUAAGGUAGAUAGUAAGUGUUUAAUAAAUAUUUGUUGAAUAAAUGAAAAAUGGAUGAAUGCAUGUACUUUACACAAGAUAAUUGACAUUCUAGGCAAAUCAACUAUUGCCUUCUACUCCCACACCCCAGGGAAGACCUCCCAAGUUUGAAUUUCUAACUCCUUCUUAUUAGCAUUUACCUUUGGACCAGUUACUCAGUUCUGUAAGUUUCAGUUUCCCCAUCAUUCCUCAGUGGGGUAGACCUGAGAAUUAAAUUAAAGAAGAUCUCAAUGUGAAGCCAGUGGCAAGUAGUAGGUACCCAGUAAAAGAUAGCUGGUGUUAUAGGUGAGCACCCCGCUUAGAAAGGGGUCCUCGGCCACCAGCCAUUUCCAGCCUCAUUAUACAGCUUAGUUCACAGCACUCAGCACUCAACCUCCAUAAAAAAACAGCCCCUUCUAUGUGUAAAGCUCUGUUUCGUUUACAAAGUGUUUUCCUAUGCUUUAUCUCCUCUGAUAAAGCCACAGGGGCAGGGGAAAGAAUGUAUUAUUGGCCCCCUUUGAUAGAUAAACUGAGGUUCAGAGAAAGUACCCUUACUUAAGCAAAGGAGUUUGGAUUGGAACGUCAGAUUUUGGAUGAAGCCAUGGCCCUAGAUGCCAUUAUGAAUCCUAAUGGGUCCCAGAAGUACUAUCCUAAAGCUCUGUAAAUGUUCCAUCAUAGUAUUCUUCUCUACCCCAUCACUUGACUGAAGUGGAGAGAGUAUGGCCCUAAUUUGAAGGCAUGGAAGGACCUGGAAGUUGUGCUUGUGGAGGGUCAGGAGUAGGCAGCCUCCAGGCCCCUUUACACUCUGUACUUUAGAUUUUUAUCAUAGUUCUGCCAAUAACACCACCUACAUUCCUUCCUGGAAGUUCCUUGAACGUGAAGAAUCAUUAUGGGGUCUAAAGUCAUCCUGAAAGCUCCCCUUAAAAAAAACAAGAGAACGUCAAUGAAUACCCUGGAAACAAGCAGUUAUUUAUUUAUUUUUUUUCACUUAUCAAGUUGAUAAAGAUGAAAGAAAUCCUAAACUCCAGUCUUGGCAAGGAUGAGGAACACAGGCUGUCUCCUUGCUGGAGGGGGAGUGAAUCAGUCCAAACUUUGGCUUAAGAUUCUAGCUCAUCCUUAGAUCUAGCAAUUCUACUCAUAGGAGUUUAGUCUAAGCAAAUAAUCUGUGUGCAAGGACUUAUCUGCUAGGAUAUGCAUCAGAGCACUGUUCAUAAUCCUGAAAAAUUAGAGUUAAUAUAAAUACCUUCAGCAGAGGCUCAGUAAGAUAAAGUCAGACCCCUGAAUGUAGUUGCGUACCAAGCCACAGCUUAAAAGGACGCUGCAGAAGGCCCUUAGUACCUGGAAGUUACUUCUUGUGUUUCCAGGACAAUUCUUCACAUUUAUGAGUCCUUACUACAUGCGAGGCACUGGGCUCAGUGUUUAAUCUCGUUUAAUCCACACAACAGCCCUGUGAGAUAAGUACCAUUACCCUUAUUUUACAGAUGGGAAGAGUGAGACCCACAGGUGCGACAACUCACCAGGGCUCUUUCCGGGGUCUCUGAGCUGGGUCUGCGGCCCGAGUCUCAUGCCCUACCUUUAAGUCUUUCACUUACUCUAGUAAGUUAGUCCACUCCUGUUUCUAAAACCCGUUUAUGUGAAUAGAGACAGAACAGGAAAGAUAGACACCAGCGAGUAUCAUGGAUAAUGGGAUCAGGGUGAUUUCUAUUUGAUUCUUUUUGCUUAUCUCUUGACAUUAUUUCCUGUUAAUAGAAAAAAUGAAACUGUUUGCAGUUAUUAAAAAGUAACAAAUCAGAGAAGGCUUAUCCCUGAGCUGGGAAGGAAGACGCAGCCAGAGUGCUGCCUGGAGAUUCUUUCUCUGUUGCCAAGAACCAGCCAAAACAGGAGGCAGCCAGAGAGAGGAGUGCCAGGAAGAAUGCAGUCUCCAUCCUGGAAGGAGAGGGCCCACUGGAAAGAACAGAACCCAGCUGGCUCAGCCCGGGCGGACCACUCUUUCCAGGGACCUGGCCUUGGGCCCUAGCCCCCGCCCCAGCCCACCUGCUCUUGUGGGCCAUCACCAGCCUGCAUAUUAAAAGGGCCUCGCUGAGAAACAGGCUAUUAAUCCCUACCACCACCAUGGGAAACAGUGCUAAAAAUGCAUUUCCCCCUUUCUUUCGUCUAUCUGCAGGGGUCAAAGGAGGGGCUUGGGGGUUCAGAUGAGGGUUUCCUUGAGGAACUACCAAGGAAAAGUGUCUAAGGCCUCUAAGGCCUUGUUUGGGCAGAGAGGCUCCUGGUGCCCCAGUGCCGAAGGGAAGGAGUGAGUAUCUGGGGUCAGUGCUGCCUUCUGGGUUAGAGUGAGGUGGAGCAGGAUGGGGUGGGGUCUGCUCCAGGCUCAGAGAGGUUCAAGUAGGCACAAUUAACCCGUGUAAAGUCCGUUGCUAUUCCUUAAGAGUUUUCCUUCAAGGCUGCCCUUGGUGUUUAGAUCUGAUCUCACUGGAGAGGAGAUGGGGGAAGGAUUUGCUAGGGCCUUCUGGGCCCCACAUCUUCUCAGAAAGGCAGAGGCCAUGUGGUCAGAGGUUAAGUGCUUGACCGUGGACCUUGGACAUUCAGGUGAGGGUUCUUCUGAAUCCACAGCUAGCCUGCCCGCAAGAUUUUUUUUUUUUUUAGGAAGAUUAGCCCUGAGCUAACUUCUGCUGCCAAUCCUCCUCUUUUUGCUGAGAAAGAUUGGCCCUGAGUUAACAUCCAUGCCCAUCUUCCUCUACUUUCUAUGUGGGACGCCUAACACAGCAUGGCUUGCCAAGCGGUGCCUUGUCCACACCCGGGAUCCGAACUGGUGAACCCCGGGCCGCUGAAGCGGAACAUGCAUGCUUAACUGCUUUGCCACUGGGCCAGCCCCUGUGCCCAGAAGAUUUUUAAGGCCCUCAGUUUGGGGGCAGGUGGUCAAGCAGUGGGGAAUGGGAAGGACUUAGAAACUGUGGCCUGGAGGGACCUAAGAACCAUGUCUUGCACCAAGUUCAGGCUCCUCCAACAGUUCCCUCAGGAAGGCUGCCACUCAAAAGUCACCGUCAACCUCACCACCUCUCCCUUGUCCCUGCUCACCCUUUCAGCCUGUGCUCUGGACAGGCUGCCCACACUGCCUGGGCUCACACUGUGCUGUGGUCAGCUUUCCCUCCCAGACUGGGUUCAUUUAUUUGGUUCUGUCACCGCUACCUCCCAUUCCCCAGUUGCUCGGAAUCUCCUCCACUUCAAGACCCAGCUAUCUAUAUUCACGCAUUAUUCAUUUAUUCAUCCAAUGAAUAUGUAGAUUUAUUUAUCAUUAAAAAUUAUAGUGGUAUCUCUCACUUUUUGAGCACUUUAUAUGCCAGACCGUGCUACGCAUCUUCUCUGCCCCGUCUCACUCAAUCCUUGCAGCUGCCCAGGGAUUUAGGUACAGUCAGCACCUCUGCUUUAUAUAUGCAGAGACCGAGGCCCAGAGAGCCUUAAAACUUGAUCGGGUCACGCAGCACCACCGACCAAGCUGGAAUUUGAACCCAGGCUGCGUGGCUCAAAAGCUCAAGCCCAGAACCACCAUUUAUGUUGCCUCAGCAAGCAGUCAGUCAUGAACUGAGUGAGGACCUGCCCUGGCCGGGCUUCUGUACCCCAGGCUGAGACAGAAACAAAUGAGGCAUAUUUCUGCCUGUGCAGAAGCCCACUGAGGGAAACUUCGUGCAACCCCUCUACUCGGGAAAACCUUUUCUCCUUUUUCUCUAUUUACAACUGAAUUUUUGUAAAGUCAGUUUUGUUACCAAAUUUCAUAGAUGCUCAUGUGUUGGAGGACUUUGUGAAAGUUCUCUGAUCUCCCCCUCUAGGUGAUGCAGGAAGCUGUGUUGCAGAGCACCUGCCCAGCGUGCGUGGACACAUACACACACACACAGAGCGCAUCUAGUUGAGAGCUUGGAUUUUGGAACCACACUACUCGAGUUUAAAUCUUGGCUCUCCCAUUUACUACCUAUGACCUUGGGCUAGUCCUUUGAACUCUCUGAGCCCCAGUUUCUUCAUCUUUAAAAUAGGCAUAACUUUUACAUUGUAGGGUUUUUGCAAAGAUUAAAUGAGGUAACACAUGCAAAGCAUGUAGCACCCUAAGUCCUGAUAUUGUUGUUAUCAUUAGGGAUGGGCAUAUCUUGCCUUCUUGGCAAAACAGUGAGUUCCUUGUCUUGUCGCUUUGUGCCUGCCGCCCAGGGCCCUCAGCCCAGGGCAGAUGUGCCUGGUGAGAGAGGUUAGUUACCAGCUUCCUCGGCCUCAGAGGGGGUGUGAGGGUGAGUGUUCCUUUUGCCCAGGCUCCUUCGGAAUCUUGAGUCACGCUCCACAGCUCUCCCUAAAGAGAUGCUUCCUUCAGCCUCAGCCCUCUCCCCUUUCACAAUAAGCUCAGUCAUUCGCACCCUCCUGGGUCAUGUGCAGACUUCCCCAGUAUUACCUGUUGAUGGGCCCUGGGGAAACCUCCAAGAAGAUGAGAGUCUUGAUAGGCAGAUGACAGUGACUUGACUCUCUAGCCCAUGGCUUUGGCUGUUGGGCCAUAUUUCGAAUCCACUGGUGGCCUCUGAAUUGACUAAUGACCCACAGGGCCACGCUAUUUCAUUUGGCUGCCCUCGGACUAAGUGACAACUCAUCUGGAUGGGACAAGUUAGGGAGUCUUUUGUUUCAGUCUCUUCCACUCUCCAGUCCCUGGGGGUUCCCUGAAGCCUGUGAAGUGGU